GGAGGAACAUGUUAUAUUAUGAUGAUGCCCGAUGAAUCCGAAGGAAUAUGUGAUAUUAUGAUGGUGCCCGGUGAAUCCGAAGGAAUAUGUAAUAUUAUGAUGAUGCUCGGUGAAUCCGGAGAAAUAUGUGAUAUUACGAUGAUGCUCGAUGAAUCUGGAGGAAUAUGUUGAUAUUGUGAUGAUGCCCGGUAAAUCCAGAUGAGGUAAGAACAUUGUGAUGCCAUGUGGGGCAAAUUUACUUAUAUGCAUUGAUAUUUGUAAGGUUAGGCCGUGUGGGGCCAACCUCCUAUGUGCUUGAGAUAUGAGGUCUCUCUUGGUAUAUUUCUAUUCAUUUCUUGCUCUAAAUCACUAUAAGAGGUGUGAACCUUGUUGAUGCUAAAUUAGUAACUAGAGGAAACCUAUGCCUAAUAUUGAGUUAAGACUUAGUGGUAUGAAGAAUCUUUCGUAGAAUCAAGGGCUAACCUAAUAUAUCUUCUUGACUUAAAUAAGAGGUUAUAUUAUGAAAUCUUGCCUAGUAAGGUGGCUUAUGUGAUAACUGGUUACUUCUAAAAUAUAUGAUUUCUAUUUGGAGGCUAGAAACCUAGUAAACUAGUUGGUGGACUUUACUUGAUUAAAAUAUGGAAAUUAGUCCUUAAGGUUGUGACAUGCUUAGUGAUGAUGGACCUAGUAUUGCAUAAUGGUUAGUUAAAUUAUCUUCGAAUAUGUGAGGUUGAAAUGUCUUAAUUGAUAACUUAUAUCAUGAAGAUGCUAGCUAACGAAUGGCCUUGUGAUAGGUGAAUAACCUAUAAUAUGGGUGGCUUGUAGUUUUCCCCAAUGUGAUGGCUAGUAAUGAUAAGACUUAUAAUCUAUUGAAUUAUAGAAAAUAAGGCUAACGAGUAUCAAAUUCUCGCGGUGUUUAUCAAUAAAUUAUAGUAUUAAUGACUACAUGUCUAUGCUAUGACAAUGUUGCUUUCUUUAUGUUAAAUUACGGUAUGGGUAUUUGGAAGUGGAUUUUGGUAAUAAGCUAUGGCAAGAUUGAGCUAUCCAUGAUUUCUGUCAAUUGAUGAAAUAGUUGUGCUUUAUUGUAUUAUAGUUGUAUUAUUUUGGUGUACUCUCAGGUGGUAUGGGAUGCCGUGAUGAGUUCUUGUUUGAUAUUCUUUUGUGUACUCUCUGGUGGUAUAGGACGCCGUGAUGAGUUCUUUGUUGUGCUCUCUUUUGUGUACUUUCCGGCGGUAUGGGACAUUGUGGUAAGUUCUUGUACUUAUUGUUCUAAAGAUGGUUGAUGAUGAUUAUAGGAAGUAGAUGAUUUGCUAUUGUGUAUGUGGCUUUACGAUUUCGAAAUGAUAUUCGGUUGUUAUGGAGAUUAUGGAGUACAUUGAGAUAGUAUGUCAUGUCAUUGCUUUAGUAGUAUAGAUGUUGUUACAGUGGUAUCAAACCAGAUUCAGGUUUGAUCCCAUCCCUUGACUUUAAGAUUAUUGUCUUACUUUAUAUCGUCUUUAUAUUAUAUUUGAGUUCAGUCGGCCGAUGAUGCCUACUGAGUACUCGUAUUUUGGUACUCAUACUACACUUCUGUACCUUUUGGUGCAGACCCAGGUUCUAGUUGCCACAGUUGGAUAUCGAUAUGAGAUCAAUAUCUAAAAACUAUCUACCAUACCAAAAUUAGUACCGAACAUCAACCAUAAUGCCCAUAUACAUAGUAGUCUAACAAAGCCCCUAACAAAACCGAAUACCAGUAAAUGUUGGGACAUGCCCCCGACCAUAGCCAAAAUAAAUCUAAAUUAAAGUCCAAGACAAGGGAAACUAAAAUAUGAAAUAAAGUCUUCUAAAGAAUGGAAGCUCACUACUUCAAGUCAACUCUUGAUCUAACUACGAACACCUGAUCACUGUGCGGAAAAGGCAUAGUUGCCUUUGGAUACUGCAUCGCGUAGGGAUACAACGUUCGAAGAUGGUUAACAGUUGGAGCUGUAGCAUCUAACUCAGAGAUAAAAGAAUAAAGUAAUGCCAUAAUCCAUAAUAUGAAACCCCGUAAAACCUAAUGCACCACAUCAUAUGCAAUACGUCUAUAUAUAUAUAUCAUAUGUCGGGGAAAAGGGAACAAGGCUUGGCAUGAGAGUAAAACCUUAACCUGGACUAUGUAACUCUAUCGUUCUAAAGGCACCCACGAGCUAUAUGGGUUCAGCUCCCCUGUUGAAAGGGCCCCAGUGCAUGUUACCCGCAUAUAUUAGAGAAAACCCAAGAAGGCUAAUGCCAUUCCCAAAAUAUAAAGUGUGUCUCAUGCGCACGAUCACCAUGAUCAAACCUCACGUUGGCAAAUAUGAGUUUUCGAUAUCGGUCCCCUCGGGACCUCCACCUUUUAUGGAUUUGCUACACAACCUCUUUUAAGCCCAUAUUAAAACCAUUUACACAUUACCAAUCAUUUACCAAGGAAUAUUUUAAUUAUGCAUUUCUUGUUGGUAUCGUUAUACCAAAAUUAAAGCUUGCAAGUCUAUCCCUUAAUGCCAUAUGAAACCAUUAAACCAAAUUUGACUCUAAAGGUUUCAAUUAAACCAAAACCAUUGACACCAAGGCCUUUCCAAAACCAUUUGAAAACCAAACCAAACCAAUUCAUGUUCCGUUAACCAUUUAUGCAAUGCAACGAUUCGAAGAAUAGUCAAACUUUGAGACAAAAUCAUAUUCAUUGUCAAUUUCACAAACAGGUUGAGGGCACAUAAUUUUCAACACCAUAUAUCAAGGCAAAAUCAUCAAAUUAGGAAUUAACCAUGGCCUCUUAGUUUAAUUAUCAUUCCCAUGCAUUCCACAAUGUUCAAAAUCAUAAAUAAAGCAUAAUUAUUGCAUAAUAAACCAUGGAAAAAUAUUUCUUCCAAUCAAAUUCACAACCCUUAACCCAUAGUUCAAAAUCCAUUAUCAAAAUCAUGAAUAAUAAGCAAUUUCAUGUCAUUAAUAAAAUACAAGUAUAGGAAAAGAGAUACAUGCCUUAAUUACCAAGAAACUCGAAGAAAUUGACAUCCUUAGGACCCUAGAUGACCACCUCUUUGAACCCUUAUCUUGACUUGAAAAGGAAAAUUUGAGAGAGCAUAUUUAAGAGUGGAUAAUGAACUUCGUAUAUUGAAACUUGAUAUAAAUAGGUCCUUAUAGUAAUUGAAAAUUAUUUAUAGGAGAAAAGACCUCACUACCUCUUUUUCUUUUUUUAAUUAAAUAAAACAACCGCAAAAUAAUACAGGUCCGUGAGGCUAACCUCCGUGACACGGACCGUAUCGCAGAUAUUAUCCUCUAUGACACGGGGAUAUUGUGGAGGUUUACUGCCUCCGUGACCCAAAACUAACCCGAACCCCGUCCAAAACUUUUGAAACUCUUUUGAGUUACCCUUUUAACACCUCGAACAUAAUUUAAGUCAAGAAAAUCAAUAUUUCAAGAACAGAAAGGCCAAAAAUGAAAUACCCAAAAUUUCGAGGGUGUUACAUUGCCAACCUUCUAUGACAAUCUUUCCUCGACUAUUCUGAUACGUACAAAGAAUCUUUUCUCGAGAAAAUCAAAUUGCUCUCAAGUCUCCAAAGGCCAAAAAACAAAUAAAAAAUGGUAUGCUUUUAAUUCCAACUAGUUUAGCUGCACGUGCCUCGCACGUGUAAUUUUUGAUUAUUUAAAAUUAAACGAUUUUAUCUAUUACGAAGGUUUUUAAUGAAGUACAAAAAGUUCAAAACAUAUAUUUUGUAGUAAGCACAUAUAUAUAUGAGAAAAAUAAUUACAUUGUUAGGUUCGAACAUACGAGAAUAUCAAACCUAGAAAUCAAAAUUCACAAAUAAAACAGAUGUAAUAAUGCAUGAUGUAUUAAACUUAAAAUCACUCCCAAGCUAAAGAAAAAAUAAUAAGCCACAACAACCAAUAGAAAAGAAAAAACAACUCAAAAAAAAAAAAAGAGAAAGAGAAUAACGCACUAACCUAGCGGAUGACAAUUACAAUGGUUGAAGAAAACAUAAAAUACAAAGCAUGGGGCGAGACAAUAUAUAUUAAUAUAAAAAUAUAUUAAAAAUUAAACCUAGUCAUAGUUUAAGAAAAAAAACUUACCAUAUUUUAAAGUCCUAAUCCAUUACCAUAUUUUAAAAUCCUAACCCACAUAUUCUAGGAUUCAAAAUUAUAUAUAUAUAAUUAAAUAAUAAUUGGAGAAAAAAAAGUGAAAAAACGAUUUUAUCUAUUGUAAAGUAUUUUAAUGAAGGGCAAAAAGUUCAAAUCACUUUUCUAACGUCCUUCAUACUUUUAAUAUAUUAUAGAUUAUAGAUAUAAAUAUAGAUAUCAUAGCUCUUAUUUAUCUUUAUGUACCUUCUUAUUUACGUUUAAGUUACAAGAAUUUGUAGUUCUAAUCCUUAAUUACAACCACUGCAAAUCAUGAUUUUUAAUUGGAAAUUGUUGAUAUCUUCAAAUGAUCUUUACUAAAGUGGUUCAAAGAUUUAAAUGGGUUCAAGAUAGAGAUUCUUCUACAACCUUUUUGAUUCUUUUUGAUUGCGUUAUUUUUCAAUUCUAAUAGUUUAAAAUAAUUUACAAAGACUAAAACUACACAUGAUGAUCGAUUUGAGUUGUGAGAUUCACUUUCUUUUCGAUUUUAGAAGUUCUUAACAAUCAAUGCUAUUUAAAUUUAGGAGUGUUAUAUUUCAAAUUCUAUGCACUUUCACGAGUGCUUUCAAUUUCUUUCACAAAAAAUUUCUUGAUGGUAUAAUUUAUAUGAAUAUCAUUAGCAAUUCAAGUUUUAUUUUAAAUAACUUGGGAAAAACGUGCAACACACGUUUUCAUAGAUUCAUAAAUUUAAUAUUUUAAAUAAAUUAAGUUCUUCUAUUUAGAAUAGAAAAUUAAAUAAUAUCUCUUGAAUGAAAUAUAUAUAUGAUAUAUAUUUGGUAUUUAUUUAUAUAUGAUAUAUAAAUAAUAUAUUAAUAAGGAACAUGAAUCCAAUUUGAAUUGGAUGAAUUAGUCACAUGAAAUUUAAUAUGAUAUUGAAUUGAACUUUUAAAAAAUUAAUAGUCAUAUAUGGAAAGUUCAAAAGGACUUCAGCAAUGUAAGCUGCAAGUUUCAAUUAGGAAUUAGAAUAGAAUUCCGACGUGAAUAAUUUCAUAAAGUUUAAUUUUGGUAUUAAAUUUUUACCCCGAGUAAGUUAUUAACUUAAAAGGUUUAUAGAUAAUUCUAUAUAAAGGUUGAUGAAAAAAUUUCAUAGUACAAGUUUUUUUUCAAAAAGUUCAUGAACAAGUUUACAAAAAAAAAAAGUUUUCAUUAUGAAAAAGGAUUUUUCACAAUGAGAAAAGUUUUCAUCAUGAAAAAGGUUUUUACUGUGAGAAUAAUUCUUAUGAGAAAAUACUUUAUUGAAAGUAUGUGAGUUCUAUACCAAAUCAAUAGAGAAAAUAUAAUUGACAUUGUUUUUUUGUUUCAUUUAUUGUGGGUUGAGAUUUUUGAAAAACAUUUUAACACAAUAUUUGAAAUUAAAUUUGUUCGUAAUUUUCAUUGAUCAAGGAGUUGAUAACAAAGAUUGAUCUCAGUGUAGACACAUAUAGAGUCUUCGUACCAGAUUUGUCUUGAAACUUAAUCCUUAGAUAUUAUAAAUUUUAAAUGUAAGUAGAUUUGUCUAGAGUUGCUUCUCGUCUUUCACUAUGUGUUACGAACAUCCUGCAAUCCUACAGCGGUAUCAAAUCCAGAACUCUUUGUUUUUAGAAUUUAUUAGUAAAUUCUUCUUACAUAUUAUAUUUAAAAAGUUCAAUUCUAAUAAUUUGUAUUGAUAUAUUUUUUUAUUGUGAAUAAAAGUAUAUUAGGUACAUAUGACGAAUUAACUUCGAAGUUCAUGACAUGAAUAUAUAAGGCUAAAGUCAUCGAUAGAUACUCAAACUUAUUGUCAAAAUUCACUUAGACACCUAAACUAAGGCCAGUUCCUAUCAGACCUCUAAACCCCCCACAUUUUGUUCCAAUUGGGCCUUUUGUGCCCUAUCAGCAAAAAGCUCAAAGUGCGUGUUGCACACAUGCGAUGACGUGGCAAAAUGAGCUAAUUGGAAGCUGACAUGUGGCAUUGUGGGUCCAAUAAUUAUUAAAAAUUAAUUAUAAUUUUUUUUAAAAAGUAUAUACAAAUGGCAUUGAGGAAAUUACUAAAAAAUGAUUCUAAAAUUAUGUAAAAAAUAAAAAAAAUUGAUUUUUUAAAAAAAUUAUAAUUUGUUUUAAAAAUAAAAUAAAUUAUUAAAAAAAUAUUGAACAAAUUUAAUUUUUAAGAAAAAUUAUAAAUUUUUUAAAAAAUGAAAAUAAAAAAUGGCGAGGAUAUAAAUUAUGAAAAAUAAUAUAAAAUUAUUUUGAAAAAUAAAAAUAAAAAACUGAUUAUUAAAAAAAAUUAUAAAAUUUUAAAAAAAUGAAAAUAAAAAAUGACAUUGAGGAUCCAAAUUAUAAAAGAAUAAUUAUAAAAUUAUUUAAAAAAUAAAAAUUUAAAACUAGUUGUUAAAAAGAAGUUAUAAAUUUUUUAAAAAAUGAAAAUAAAAAAUGGCAUUGAGGAUAUAAAUUAUGAAAAAAAAAUAUAAAAUUAUUUUUAAGAAAACUGAUUAUAUAAAAAUAUUAUAAAAAUUUUUAAAAAAUAAAAUAAAUUAUUAAGUACUUAUUUAAAAAAUAAAAAAUUAAUUAUUGAAAAAAAUUAUACUUCAGCAUAUGUUUUAUUAAAAAAAAAAAAAUUAGGACCCCUUAAUGCUUUUUGUCUAUUUAAAAAGGGCCUUUAGUGUUAAUUUUUUUUUUUUUUUGUUAUUAAAAAAUUUUUGGGGCCCUCAAUGCCACUUGACAUAUUUUUAUUUGUAAAUUAUUCUACUUUCUAUUACUUUCUUUUUUUUUUUUUCUUCUUUUUUUCUUUUCCUUUUUUUUUCAUUUUCUCUUUUUUUUUUGUUUUAUUUUUUUAUUUUUUUUAUUUUUCUCUCUAUUUUCUAUUACUCUUUUUUUUUUCUUUUAUCAGUUUUUUUUUCAUUUUUUCUUUUCCUUUUUUUGUUUUCUCUUUCUUCUUUCUUUUUUAUUUUUCGUUGUCUUUUUUUCAUUUUAUCUUUCCUUUUCUCUUUCUUUUCUUUUUUCAAUUUUUUCGUUUUCUUUUAUAUUUUUUUCUUUUAUUUUCCUUCUUAUUUUUUCUCUAUUUUUUAUUACUCUUUUUUUCAGUUUUUUUCUUCAUUUUUUCUUUUCCUUUUUAUUUUCUCUUUCUUCUUUCUUUUUUGCUGUCUUUUUUAUUAUUUUGUCUUUUUUUGUUCUUCUUUUCUUUUUUAUUUUUUCUCCUUCUAUUUUUUCUCUAUUUUCUAUUACUCCCCCCCCCCAACCCCCCCCCCUUUUUUUUUGUAUUUUUUCUCACAUUUUUCUCCUUUUUCUCUUUUUAUUUUUCUUCUUCUUUUCAUUUGUGCGAACUAGCAAACAUAAAUAUAAGUGUGAACUAUAAAAUAUAAAUACAGAGGCGUAUUAUAACAUACAAAUAUAAGUGAAAACUACAAAAUAUAAAUACAAAUGCCUAUAACAUAUAGAUACAAGUGUGAACUAUCAUUUGUAUUUUUUAAUUAUUGAAAAGGAACGAUUGAUUUUCUUUUUAUAAAUAUUUAUUUGUAUUUAUUUAUAUGAGUUAUAUUUAUUGAUACAAAUAAAUACAAUUCAGAUUUUUAUAAAAAUACAAUAUGCAUUUGUAUUUUUAAAAUCAUUGGUUUCAUUUGUUUGUAAUUAUAUUUGUAUCAAGUGAUAUUUAUUUAUUUACAAAUACGAACAAUAAUUUUGACAUAUAAAUAUAAAACGGUACAUUUGUAUCAAAUGAUACAUUUCAUAUUUAUAUAUUGUAGAAUCAAGAAAAUACAAUUAAUGCAUUUACUUGUUUGUAUACAAAUACAAAUGAUAAAUUGUACAUAAUCACCGCUAAAUAUAAUAUGUAAUCAACUUACAAAUACAAAACAAAAUAAUUCUUUAAAAAUAAAAAGAUAUCGACGAAAAUAGAAUACAAAUACAAAUAUAAUCUAAAAAUACAUACACAAUAAAAUCAUAAUACAAAUAUAAUCCAAUAUAAUAUACAGUCAAUUAUAAAAUACAAAACAGUUCUUUAAAAUACAAGUGCGAAUUAUAUAAAAUAUAAAUGAUGGUGCGAACUAACAAAUACAAAUAAAAGUGCGAACUAUAAAAUACAAAUAUAAAUGCGAACUAUAAAAUACAAAUACAAGUGCGAACUUUAAAAUACAAAUACAAAUAUACUUGUAUCAAUGAAUACAAAAAUAUAAAUGACGGUGUGACUACAAAUAGAUAAAUAAUCAUGGUAUUUAUGUUAUCAUCAAUGACUUGUGCUCGAGUAGUUAUAUUUUUUAAAAAUACAAAAAUAUAAAAUAGAACAAAAAAAUAAUAAAGCAAAAAAGUACAAAAAAAAAGAAAGAAAGAGAGAUAGAAGAGAAAAAAAUAUAUAAAAAAACAAAAAAAAUAAAAAUAGAAAAAAUUAGAAAAAAGAAGAAGAAAAAACAAGGAAAACACGAAGAAGAAGAAAUAUUAAAAAAAUAAAAAGAAAGAAAAUGGUAGUAUUUUUGGCAAGACUAAAUAUGUAGUGUAUUUAUGUUUUUAUGAAUAUAGACCACUAAGUAAAAGUGAAUACAGCGGCUGUGAAUCAAAUACAACAACUAAAUGGUACUGUAUUUAUAUUUUAUAUGAAUACAGAGUAUUGAUAAAACCGAAUACAAUGGGCGUAAAUUGAAUUCAAUGGCUAUAAAUGAUAAUUAUGUAAAAUAUGGUUAUGAAAGGUGAGUUUUCCAGCAAAAUGUAGCUAUUUUUGAAAAAUCCCCUAUUUUUUACCUGUGAGAUAAAGUGAAAUUAGGACUAUGCAUGUAAAUGACUUAAACUAAAUUCACAUGCUAUGAGUGAUUGGAUCACCAUAAUUAUUGAAAAUUAUUUUAAUAAUGAUUUCUUUCCACUAAAAUUUGAUUUCUUAACUAAUAAGUAAUAAGAAAUUUACUAUAUAGCUAUCCAUCGAAAUAAAUACUUUUAUUUAUUUCUUAUUUACAACACCAGGAGGCUGGUAGUUUGAGAAUAAAUUAAAAUUAUUUAUUGCAUUAAAUAGGCGGAUAAAAAGAAUUAUUUAAUUUUUAUACUAUUGCCUACUAUUCGGGGUGUGUUAAAUUUUGAUCGAAUCUUUUUGACAUGAUGGUUGAACUCAACUAUGUCAAUAGGAACGAUCUGACUAUUAGAUACGUAUUAAUAGAUAGAGAUACAAGAUUAUUUAACAACAGAUACAUAUAAAUUAAACAAGUAAAUGGUAUUAUGAUUACAUCGUCUAAUACCGUAGAGCUUUUCGAUAUAGCGCUAUUUAAGAAAGUUGUGUAGAAAUAUAAUUGGUAAGCGUACCUACCUUUAAAAUAUGUGUGACUAACAACUUGACUAUUAGUUGGCUUAUAUAUAUAUUUAUAUUUAUUUAUAAUAUAUUAAAAGUGUGAAGACUCUUAGUAAAGUGAUUUAAACUUUUUGCCCUUUAUUAAAAAAUUUCACAAUAGACAAUAUAAUCUUUUUAAUAUUUUUCUACAUUUAUUAUUUAAUUAUAAUCAUAUUUAUAAUAUUAGCUCCUAAAUAUAUGCAAAGAAUCGUAAUAAAAUAAGGACUUUUAAUUCCCAAAAUAUAUGGUAAGUCUUUUUCUUUUUGUACAUGAAAAGGAAUCCUAAAAUGUGACUCCUAAAAUAGAUGGUAAGAGAUUAGAAAAAUUAAUAUAUAAAGAGAAUUUUUAUAAACUUGUAUGAGAUGAAAAACGGAUUGUUAUGGUUUUAAAAAAAUUUCAUUAAAAGAAACCGGCAAUUAAAUUUCGUUGACUUACAUAUGCAUAUUUGAAGCAAGAGUUGUAACUUGUAAGUGCACCAUUUGCUUUCAAUUCUUUUUUAUCUAUAGUUAAUUUUUUAAAUAAAGAAUGUAUCAUAUCAAUAUUAACUAGAUCACAUUAUUACAAUAAGUAGUGAAUGAUAUUUUUACUAUAUUUUAAUUUAAGUUUUUUUUUUUUAGAUUGUUCUUUGUUAUUUGAUUUAUUAGAAUUUUUACGUCAGUAAAAUUUAUUGAUGAUAUUUGAUAUAUUAAUAUGUUAUUGAAGUUUAUAAUAAAUUAAAUAUCAUGUAUUUUUACAGACAAUUGCUAAUUGAGAAUUUUUUUUUUUUUUGUAAAAUCUUGAUAUAUGUUAUGAUUAAAGAAACAAAUUGAUUAGUCAUUUUAAUUCUAUAUGAAUUUUUUAAAAUCGAAUAAAUUGUGAAUAAACUAUCAGACCUGACAUCUCUCUAUUAUCUUUUAAUACCAGGCUCUAAUGGUUGUUUUUUUUAUGGUUCAAACUAUAUCCUUUAAAGUUUAAAUAGAUACAAAAUUUUUUUUAACGUGAAUUGCUACUUAAUCGAUGAGAGGCACGUGCAAAGUACGUACAUUGAACUAGUAUAUAUAUAUAUAUUGAAGGAUUCCUUUAAUCCACUAAAAGAAAUAGAGCUUUCUUACGCCAUAAUAAGGGUCUAUGGUAAUUAGUGAAAAUAUCAUUUAGAUAAAAGUUCAUGUCUUUAUGAUACAUGUAAAUAUGUUCUUGCUUUGCAUUUUUUGCUUUUGUACAUUUAAUUUGUCAAUAUGUCUGGUACAUUAUUACAUGGAAUACUUGAGGUUGAUAAAUUGGUAUGAACAAAUUUUGAUGACUGAUAUAUAAAUUCGAGAAUUAUUCUCAUGCAUGAAGAGCUAACUAAUGAGAUCAAUAAGCUUGACAAAACAAAUCCUCUUGAGGAUGGCGCUAGGACAUAAAAAUUUAUCAGAAAUAUUGACAGAAUGUCUUCUAAUCAUAUGCAUCAUUUUUCACUUCUAUGAGUCUUGAACUCUAGAGAAAAUAUUUGGAUUCAAAAUAAGUUGUUGAACGUUUUGAGAAGACAUUUAAUUAGUGUAAGGUACACAAAGUAAAAUAGUUAGAUUCUAGUUAUCUAUGGCUUUAUUUGAAUCCAAGUUGACUGUAACUUCUUCAAUCGGUCACACAUUAAUCAUGAAUGAUAUUAUUAAAUGAAUUGAGAAUUGACGUGUAAAUUGAAAAAGGAAUUUCUCAAGAUUUGAUCUUUCAGUCAUUAUACGAAUUUAAAGUAGAGUGUUUUCACUUAAAGAAGAAAGUACAUUGAAAGAAAAAUUACAAGGAGUCUCUUGCAACUCCAAAGAUAAGAAAUAAUGUAAGAUCUAUAGUAUUUUGAAAGAGUUCAAGAUAAGUAGUAGGUUAAAUAAAAGUAUAAGUUAAUAUACAAGUUUAAAAUGGUGCAAGAGGUGCAACAUUAAUUGCAUACUGAAUUUCUCCUUUAACGGCUACAAACAAGAUACUUAUGUUGAAAAAUUGUCAUUAUAUUCCUAAAUUUGUUUCGAACAUAAUUUCAAUUUUAUGUUAGAGAAGUAAAGUUGUUGAUUAAUUCAAUAGCAUGUUUACUAUUUUUCAUAAUGAUGAAUUGUAUGUGAAUAGCUAUUUUCAACAUGAUAUUUUAUAUCUUACGUAAUGUGAAUGCUAAUUCGAUUAUGCAUGUUUUUAAUCUUAAGAGGAAAACAGAUGAUCAAAUAAAUCAUAUAAAUCCUAAUUAGUAAGCUUGGUUAUAUUAUAGAGAAUAGAUCUAACAAGUUGUAUAAGGAAAGUUACCUUGAAAAACAUGGAUUUGAAUCAUACCUAACUUGUGAAAUCUUAUCUCAAAGCAAAAAUGACCAAAGCUCAAUUUAUUGAAACUGGUGACAAAGCUUCUGCAUUAUUCGGACUAACUUAUAUAGAUGUUUGUAGGUCCAUGAAAACUCAAGCUAAAGGUAAAUAUUGUUAAUCUAUCACCUUAAUUGAUGAUAUAUGAAUUGUGUAUAUGAUAAAACACAAAUUCGAAUCUCUUGAAAUGUUCAAAAGAUGUCAUAAUGAAGUUGAAACUAUACUUGUAAAAGUAUUAAGAUACUAAAGUUUGACAAAUUAUAGAAUAUGAUAAUUUACUAAAUAUCACAAAGAGAAUAAUAUUUUCUUAUGGUGAAUGCCUCCAGUAUCACCACGAAAUAUUGUAUCAAAUCAAACCAUAUUAGAUAUGGUGAGAUCCUUAUGGGGAUCACUAAUCUUCUAAUAAUUUUAUGAAAAUAUGCUUUAGAAGCAACAAUAUACUUGAAUAAUAAAGUGAUCAUUAAGUCAGUCUCUGCAAUACUAAUGAAAUAUGAAAGGAAUAUAACCAUAAAUUUGACAAGUUAAAGUUUGGAGUUGUCCAACUUAUGUUAGACGAUUGCAAUCUAAUAAACUUGACUCCAAAUUUAAUAAGUGUGAAUUCACUAGAUAUCCAAAGAGAUUGGAAAAUAUGAUUUAUAUCACCUCUAAAAACAUAAAGUGUUUAUGGAAAAAGGAACAACCUUUUGGAAAAGGAGUUCCAUUUGAAAGAAAAUACCAGCAUAGAAAUAGAACUUCGUGAAUUUCAAAAAACUAAUGAAUCGACACCAAAUAAAAAACAUGAGAUACAAGUUGAGAAGCUUUUAUUGGAUAUCUUGAAAUUAAUAAGGAGGUUUUCAUAUUCAGUGGUUGAAGUUCAAGAACAUAAUGAAUUUCAUAAUUAGUUAAUCAAUCAGUUCUAAAUCAAAUUAAACAAUAAACGCAAUAUAUAGGUGAGCAAAAUUAUAAAUGUACCUCUCAAAAAUUUAUUGAUAAUAUCAUACAUCAAAUAGAAUGAAUCUAAUCGUUAAGAUAAUAUCUUAGAUGAGAUUGAUCAUAAUGAUGAUAAUUCAAAUACUUAUGAAGAGGUGAUACAAAAUUCCAUUUAUGAAAGUUGCUAAGCUACAAAGGAUCUAUUUAUGAACUAAAGAAAAUAUUUUAGAAGUUGAAAUGUUUGCUUCAACAAGACAACUGAAAAGUUCAAUUGUGUGAAGAUGAACUUUGUGUGUAUGAAAGAUUAGUUGGAUCAUAUUAUAUUUUAGUGCAAUAUAUUGCUGAUAUAGGAUCUUAUAUACAAAUUACCAGUAUAACCAAAUUUUGGCCGUUUAAAUAGUUUUUUAUGAAAACUUGAAAGAAGUGACUUAUUUCUUGAGAAUAAAGAUCUAUGGACGUAGAUGAUCUAUAAAAAUAGAUACAAGAAGAUACUUAAUUUUUCUAAAAUACAUAUUAACUAAAGCUAUUGGUGCAAAGGAGUUUGAUUAGGCAUAAGUGAGAAUUGAGAAUAAAGUACAUUAAUGAUUGACUCUAGUGCAAGUGGGAGAUUGUAAGGGAUAUAGUAGAUAUGCGCUGGAUCAAAUCUUACAUGUGAUUGUAACAACCUAAAUUUUUGAUGUUAUAUGUGAAAUAUGUGUUUUUGUAUGAUUAACUAUUUUACCCCUCUCUAUAGUUUCAUUAUAGUAUUAUCUGGGAUGUAGAGGUAAUUGGCAUGGUUUUCAAUGCAUUUUGGUACCUUUUAUGCGAUAUUAUAGUUUUUGAAGGCUUCGAGAGCCUUAUUAUGGACUUAAAUGGUUAAAUUUUGAUCAGUGCAAUAGAUGGAUAAAUAAACUAUGCCAGUAAAUUCAGAACAUUGAUUUUAGGGUGGUAACAUAUUUGGUGUGGUUUUAUGACUUAAAUCUCAUUUUGAUCCUCGGUUUAAAACAUUAUGAUUUUGGAUUUGGGGGUCAACUUUGUCAAAAUAACAUUUUUUGAAAAUUUGAUAUCGCUACUGAGUUUGGAGCAUCGAAUUUAGUAUGGUUACAUAGUUCGUAUACAUAUAUCAAAUUUUGAAUGAAUUCUGAGUUCUUGGUUUCUGGUGCAUGUACGAUCACACCACUUGAGUGGAGAUAGAACAUGUGUGAUAGAUAAGGUAGUGUAAUCGCACAAAGGGUGUUGACGAUCUCCAUACUUCCUUCUACUGCUGUGUGGGAUUGCACAUCUAGGUUUGCAAUUGCAAUACCUGAUUACCUAGAAGGGGUAUAGUAUAAAUAGACCCCUUAGGUCAUGAAUUGACUUAUUAUUCAUCUUGCCUCUUGAGAGAUAAAUCCUAAAAUAGUAUGGGAGUUUAAAAGUAAAGCUUAUGGGUGUUUGAGAAGCUAGAUUAACAUCCAUUUAUUGAUUCUCUUAUGGAUUUAAGGUUAGAAUUCACCCAUUUCUUAGUGAAUUUCUUGAUUAAUUGCUCAAAACCCCAAAACCUUAGGACUUGAUUUUAAACCCCAAUUUUACUCCUUUUUACUUGAAUAAUAUUUCUAAUCCUAUAAUUACUAGUUUUUCCUCAAUUUAACCUUAAAAAACAUCUUCGAUUCUUGAUUUUAAAAUAAAUUUCAAAGGUUUUAUUUGGUAAAGUUUAAAAAUGAUUUUUUUUUUCAAUUUGAACCUUAUUUUUAACUGGAUCUGGCUUGAGUUUUCAGUUGUAGAUUCAUAAAGGUAGGAGCAACACAUUUUUAAAAUAAAAUUUUGAUUUUGCCCUUUUUUAUUAAAAACCCCUUUGGAAGUUCAUUUUGACCUUGAACCAAUAGCAGGCAAUAUAGGUAUCUGAAACACACCAGAGUUUUGUCCCUUGGAAAUUUCUUGAGAUUUGAGCUUACUGUCUAGACUACGACUUGACUAUACAAGUCGUAUGGUGUCUUGAUGGGUCAGGUGACCCUAGUCGUAGGAUGUCCAGUAGUUAGUGGUUGGGUUUUCUAUCUUGGUUACAACGACUCAUUAAGGGUGGUGAUGAGUUAUUAGGAUAAACCUUAACCAAAUCAGUAACUUAGUGGCUUGACUUGGAUCUAAGUACGAGUGGCUCAGUAGGACACGUGAGGAAAGGUUAUGAGUCAUGAGGUAAAGUCAUAGGUUGUCUAGUGUCUGACCUAUUUGGGCACUGUGUUGGUCACAACCCGACCCUAUAGGUGAUAGAGUCAGGUUACGAGUGGGAUUAUGGAGUCAUAAGGUGUAAAGUGUAUGGGUAUCCUACUCACUGUCUAAGAUACGACUCAAGGCUAUGAGUCGUAGUGAUGUGGUGAUGAGUCAAUGGGUCGACUUAUAACCAAGGAUGACUUUUUACAGUUUUAAGUUGGGGGCAUUAUGGACAUUUUCCACUUUAAGUCUCUUUGAUACCUUGACUUGAAACCUUCUUUGAGACUUUAUUAAUACAUUAUUCCUAAUAAAAUACUCUCAAAUUCUCUCUUAAACUCUCUGUUCAAGCUAAGGCUAGGGUUUCAAAGAAAGUGUUCAUCUAGGGUUCUAAGGGUGCAAUCUCUUCUAAAUUUUUUGGUAUUUUAGGCAGGUUACUCAUCUCUCUUUAUUAUUUUACUUAUAAUAAAUAUUUUAAUGUAUGGGUUUCAUGGUAUUAUUAUGAUUUUGGAAUAAAGGUUGGGAGUUUUGAAUGCUUAUGUUUGAAUAAUGUUUCCCUAUGGUUUAAUUAUAGUUUUCAAUGUUUUAAAUAUGGUUUUGAACAUGUGGGUGCAUGGGUAUGAUGGUGGAAUUUGAUAAUGGUAACUUUCUCUAAACUUGUGACUUUUGAAGUGGUUAUGAUCCCAACCUAGUAUUGUAAAAUUUGGUUAGUAGUUAUGAGAAAGGUGAGAAUUUGAACUAGGGCUAAAUGGAAUCCCCGAAGUGUUUGGAUUAACUUAUUUCUUGAAAGUAAUGCAUGGUAUAAAUGGAUAAAUGGUUACGGAUGGUUUUGAAAACCUUGUAGAGUACACGAGAAUCCCUCGAGUGAUUAUAUAAUAAAAAUCUUGCUGGGUACAUGGGAAUCCCCUAAGUAAUUUUAAUAAUGGAGUCUGCGGGGUACAUGGAAAUCCUCUAAGUGUUGGCUAAUGACGUUUCUUGCAAGCUAUAGUUGGCAUGAAGAUACCACUUAAUAAUGACUUAAUAAUUACCUCCUGAAAUUGGUGGAUUAAUCAUAUGCGAAAUGGUUUAAUUGGGCGAUAAUGGGGGUUGUGAAGUCAUGUUUAUUGACAUGAGGGUUGGUCUUGGUAACCAUAUGCUUGUGGGGUACACGAGAAUUCCCUAAGUGGAAACUUGUAUAUAUUUAUCAUGGAGGGAUAGUGGUACACAAGAAUCCUCAAUCAUCUACGAUAUCUCUAAUUCGUGCAGCUACACGAACUGGGUCUCGUUCAUGGUUUAGCACUAGGACUCGUUCAGGAGGUAACGCUGGACCAAUAUAGCCCAUGGGUGGAUUUAUGAUGGUAAAGAUACACAAUUCAGGUUAAGGUUUUAAAUGAAUGCUAAAUCUUAUUCCCUAUCCCGUUAUGAUAUAUAUAUAUAUGUCUGUAUAUCAUUACAUAUGGUUAUUUGAUUUGGUUUUAAAUUAAUGGUAUUACUUUUUAUUUACCCCUGAGUUACAUGCUAACGUUCACCCCUCUAACCAUCUUUGGGUGCUGUAUCCCCACGUGAUGCAGGAACCGACCAUACUUUCACUCCUUCUGCUCAGUGACUUGGUGAUUCGGGGA
rnacentral:lncRNA from 1 species